GCCUUGACUGUGACACAGGCGAGAUGUGUCAUCUGUAUGCUGUUACAUGAUUGUCAUUUCAUCUUAUGUAUAAUGUUAAUUUUAUAUUUAUUCUUGUGCGUUUAAUAUAUAUCUGCUCCUUGCUUCACAUGAAUUUCAAUUUCAUUCGGAUGACCACCCGAUUGUGACUCAUUAAGAUCUUAGACUACACCAUGUAAAGUGGAGGCUUUUUGACUUCGAUUUUAUUUACUGAAGAUAACUCGAAACAGAGUCGAAACGUCUUGAAUUCAUUUUGAAUAAACUGAAAAAUAUACGCACCAACAUCAACGUUUUGACUCUCAUUAGCUCCUUCUUUCAAUUCUAUUAACUUUCGAGAGUUCUUCCAUUUUUUGUAAAAUAUUAUUUAUAAAUAAAGUUAUUCAAUAAUA
rnacentral:lncRNA from 13 species